rnacentral:rRNA from 1 species
AGGACGAACGCUGGCGGCGUGCUUAACACAUGCAAGUCGAGCGGUAAGGCCCUUUCGGGGGUACACGAGCGGCGAACGGGUGAGUAACACGUGAGCAAUCUGCCCUUCACUUCGGGAUAAGCCUCGGAAACGGGGUCUAAUACCGGAUAUGACUGCGCCAUGCAUGUGGUGUGGUGGAAGGUUCUGGCGGUGAGGGAUGAGCUCGCGGCCUAUCAGCUUGUUGGUGGGGUAAUGGCCUACCAAGGCUUCGACGGGUA